ACGAACGCUGGCGGCGUGCUUAACACAUGCAAGUCGAACGGAAAGGCCCUGCUUGCAGGGUACUCGAGUGGCGAACGGGUGAGUAACACGUGGGUGAUCUGCCCUGCACUUCGGGAUAAGCUUGGGAAACUGGGUCUAAUACCGGAUAGGAGCCAUCUUUAGUGUGGUGGUUGGAAAGUUUUUUCGGUGUAGGAUGAGCUCGCGGCCUAUCAGCUUGUUGGUGGGGUAAUGGCCUACCAAGGCGGCGACGGGUAGCCGGCCUGAGAGGGUGUACGGCCACAUUGGGGCUGAGAUACGGCCCAGACUCCUACGGGAGGCAGCAGUGGGGAAUAUUGCACAAUGGGCGCAAGCCUGAUGCAGCGACGCCGCGUGGGGGAUGAAGGCCUUCGGGUUGUAAACUCCUUUCGCUAGGGACGAAGCUUUUUUGUGACGGUACCUAGAUAAGAAGCACCGGCUAACUACGUG
rnacentral:rRNA from 1 species